GUCCACGCCGUAAACGAUGAUAACUAGCUGUCGGGGCCUUAGGCUUUCGGUGGCGCAGCUAACGCAUUAAGUUAUCCGCCUGGGGAGUACGGCCGCAAGGUUAAACUCAAAGAAAUUGACGGGGCCUGCACAAGCGGUGGAGCAUGUGGUUUAAUUCGAAGCAACGCGCAGAACCUUACCAGCGUUUGACAUCCUCAUCGCGGAUUCCAGAGAUGGUUUCCUUCAGUUAGGCUGGAUGAGUGACAGGUGCUGCAUGGCUGUCGU
rnacentral:rRNA from 1 species